UCUUGAUCUAAUGUGAUUAACAACUAUGAUAUCAUUAUUUAACACUUAAUGAUACACUCCACCCGAUUGCAAUUCUCAAAACGAGGUAACCAACCAACUGAGCAGAAUGACAAUGGUCAAAAGAGAAGCAGCGGAUGACUACGUUUUUGUCAGCCACAUCUGACAGUUGGUAGCUACCGUGAAGCGGGCCUUUCGGAUUUAGGAGAAGGCGAAACAAGGUGCAGAUGGUCCAUUCAUUUCAGCUAGGCUGCAACUGUGGAUGAAGUGGAGUUGUAUAACUGGUCUACAAUGCU